rnacentral:rRNA from 1 species
UCUUCGGAAGAAUGAGAGUGGCGCACGGGUGCGUAACGCGUAUGCAACCUACCUGUUACAGGGAGAUAGCCCGGGGAAACUCGGAUUAAUAUCCCAUAGUAUUAUUUUACUGCAUGGUAGAAUGAUUAAAGCCUUCGGGUGGUAACAGACGGGCAUGCGUAGGAUUAGCUAGUUGGUGAGGUAACGGCCCACCAAGGCGACGAUCCUUAGGGGUUCUGAGAGGAAGGUCCCCCACACUGGCACUGAGAUACGGGCCAGACUCCUACGGGAGGCAGCAGUAGGGAAUAUUGGUCAAUGGGCGAGAGCCUGAACCAGCCAUGCCGCGUGCAGGAAGACGGCGUUCUGCGUUGUAAACUGCUUUUAUCUGGGAAGAAAAAGCCCUUGCGAGGGAAAUUGCCGGUACCAGAGGAAUAAGCACCGGCUAACUCCGUGCCAGCAGCCGCGGUAAUACGGAGGGUGCAAGCGUUGUCCGGAUUUAUUGGGUUUAAAGGGUGCGUAGGCGGCUGAUUAAGUCAGCGGUGAAAGUUUUCGGCUCAACCGAGAGACUGCCGUUGAUACUGGUCAGCUUGAGUUAUGGAGGGGUACAUGGAAUUUAUGGUGUAGCGGUGAAAUGCAUAGAUACCAUAAGGAACACCGAUAGCGAAGGCAUUGUACUGGCCAUAAACUGACGCUGAGGCACGAAAGCGUGGGUAGCGAACAGGAUUAGAUACCCUGGUAGUCCACGCCGUAAACGAUGAUCACUCGCUUUAAAGUACGUASUACUGUGAGGCCAAGCGAAAGCGUUAAGUGAUCCAC